GAACGAGCCGUGUCAACCGGACAUGACGGCAAUGGCGACUGUGGCGAUUUCUUCGGUUUCUCCCCACGGCCGAAGAAAUAGCAGACGAGUGCUUUUCCCGCCCGGCUC
rnacentral:sRNA from 1 species